ACGCUGGCGGCGUGCCUAAUACAUGCAAGUAGAACGCUGAAGGAGGAGCUUGCUCUCUCUGGAUGAGUUGCGAACGGGUGAGUAACGCGUAGGUAACCUGCCUGGUAGCGGGGGAUAACUAUUGGAAACGAUAGCUAAUACCGCAUAACAGUAGAUGUUGCAUGACAUUUGCUUAAAAGGUGCAAUUGCAUCACUACCAGAUGGACCUGCGUUGUAUUAGCUAGUUGGUGGGGUAACGGCUCACCAAGGCGACGAUACAUAGCCGACCUGAGAGGGUGAUCGGCCACACUGGGACUGAGACACGGCCCAGACUCCUACGGGAGGCAGCAGUAGGGAAUCUUCGGCAAUGGACGGAAGUCUGACCGAGCAACGCCGCGUGAGUGAAGAAGGUUUUCGGAUCGUAAAGCUCUGUUGUAAGGGAAGAACGAGUGUGAGAGUGGAAAGUUCACACUGUGACGGUAUCUUACCAGAAAGGGUCGGCUAACUACGUGCCAGCAGCCGCGGUAAUACGUAGGUCCCGAGCGUUGUCCGGAUUUAUUGGGCGUAAAGCGAGCGCAGGCGGUUAGAUAAGUCUGAAGUUAAAGGCUGUGGCUUAACCAUAGUACGCUUUGGAAACUGUUUAACUUGAGUGCAAGAGGGGAGAGUGGAAUUCCAUGUGUAGCGGUGAAAUGCGUAGAUAUAUGGAGGAACACCGGUGGCGAAAGCGGCUCUCUGGCUUGUAACUGACGCUGAGGCUCGAAAGCGUGGGGAGCAAACAGGAUUAGAUACCCUGGUAGUCCACGCCGUAAACGAUGAGUGCUAGGUGUUAGACCCUUUCCGGGGUUUAGUGCCGUAGCUAACGCAUUAAGCACUCCGCCUGGGGAGUACGACCGCAAGGUUGAAACUCAAAGGAAUUGACGGGGGCCCGCACAAGCGG
rnacentral:rRNA from 1 species